CGCGUGGGAGCGGCGGUCGAUAAGCUGCACGUCCGCGCCACCGCCGCCUCGCAGCCGAAGCCCACCGGAGCCGCGGCCAUGUCCUCCGUCGUCUCUUACGAGAGCCUGGUGCACGCCGUGUCCGGCGCCGUGGGCAGUAUGACUGCAAUGACUGUAUUUUUUCCUUUGGAUACAGCUAGGCUUAGACUUCAGGUUGAUGAGAAGCGAAAGUCCAAGACGACACCAGCAGUUUUAUUGGAAAUCAUCAAAGAAGAAGGCCUGUGAGUGGAUCCUAAUUUUCUCCUCACCCUUAUGUAGACAAACUCUAAAACAUGGUUUGAAUUUGCUUUUAAAGUGAAGGAGUUAGCCCGAAUCUAUGUGAACACAGAUUUCUGCUUUGAAGGGAAAUGUCCCCGUGUUUAAGUGAGAUGAAUGGCAGAAGCUGCAUUUUUUCACCUUGAGUUAAUUGGUUUAACUUUCUUGGGUAUGUUAUGCAAUCAAGCUGUUUAGCCCUGUAACUGUGCCUCCACGAGUGAGGGGGCUGUGCUCCUUCAGAAAUGAAGGUAUGGUUGCACACAAACCUGCAUGUACCUGAUAAACCAGCUUUGUCUGCCCAAAUUCUUGGGUGUGUCCAUUUCUCCUAGCACAGAUGAAACUCUUGGACAGCUGAGCCUCUUUGUGCAAGAGAAUUGAGACAUGUUUACCAGCUGGAAAUUUCUUCUGGUAAGCAAACUGGAAGGAAACAAGUGAUUCUUUGUGCAGUGAGAUUCAAGGCCUGUGGAAAAGAACGUACCUUUCAGCAGAGCUGUACUUCAGUAUUUGCCUGCAGUCUGUGCUGAGUGGCUUGAAGGCAGCUGUGCACGUGUUCUUGUCACAACUGAUUUCCUAAGCAAAUCCCUGGAACUCAGAGGUGGGCAAGAGUUUCCAGAACACCGGUUUAGCUUGGCCAAUAACUCUUUGGUGGCUUUGAACGUGAGCAGUUGGCAGUUGUGUGCAUCAGAACCUCAGAGGUUAGCGCUCUCCUUUGUUCACAUCUCUACUCAUUUGUCUCAUGAGGGUGACAAGUCAGCUUCAGUUAUAAAAAAAAAACACAAAAAAACACCAACAA